UUUUUCAACUUGGGAAACUGCAAUUGGGGAUUGUGCCCUGCAGAAUAAGCUGUCCCUCAGUGAAGAAUAAAAUAUGGACGGACCCCCACCCAUUUGCUAAGAAAGUAUGGGGUCUUUAGCUUUCAUUGUUCAGCCAGUGAGCUUUGUGUGCAACACGGAGGGCCCCUCCUGCUGUAAACUGCUUGGGCUUCCUGAUUUUCACUCCUGUAUAAACCCCCUCCCCCACCACUACCUUUGUCUCUUGGUGGAAAAAAAAAUCUUUUUUCACUUGAGCAAAAUAAAAACUACCCAGUAUUUGUUUCUGGAGUGUAAUUAUAAACUUCAUUGUACAUUCUUCCUGGCUUUGAUGCUUAUCUUGAAGAGUUCAGUGAAAAUAAAUUGUUUUUAUGAAA